GACAGAGGGUGCAAACGUUGUUCGGAAUUACUGGGCGUAAAGCGCGUGUAGGCGGGUCUUUAAGUCAGGGGUGAAAUGCCAAGGCUCAACCUUGGAACUGCCUUUGAUACUGGAGAUCUUGAGUCCGGGAGAGGUGAGUGGAACUGCGAGUGUAGAGGUGAAAUUCGUAGAUAUUCGCAAGAACACCAGUGGCGAAGGCGGCUCACUGGCCCGGAACUGACGCUGAGACGCGAAAGCGUGGGGAGCAAACAGG
rnacentral:rRNA from 1 species